UUUGUUCUUACUUUCGAUUGUGUUUCCUGCCAUAUUCAUAGUCUAAACCCUCCUGGUUGACAUUUUUCUCUCGUUUUCCUUUUCGCACCCUAAUUAGAGAUGCUGGUGGAGAACUAUAUAGGAAAGAAGGCCAUCAGUUGGAUGUGCUGAUCUGGCGUUUCUCAUACUCCGACUGUUUGUCUGCCAUCUAGCUGAUGUAAGACCAGCCCGUGGCGUGACAUACUGAAACUUCCAGGCAGUAUGAUGGAGUUUUGGAGGACCGUAAAACCAACAGUGUAGCAGAUAUGAGAAACGAUCGCAGGGACGAAGCGGAGCGAGUGGUAGAAGUCUACGGCUGCGGGAUUUCUCCGGGGAACAUCUUGCCGUCAUGCUCCACUGCUGUCUGAAGAGCGCCAGGGAAACCCUGACUGCAGAAGCGGGACGAGAGCUGAGACGAGAAAAGAGACAGAGCGUGAGGGAAUGAACGCAACGGCGCGUGUGUGUGCGAGGCUCUGUGGGAGAGAAACAGGUGCUUCCUGUGCUUUUGAAAUGCGAGUAUGUGUGUGCGCAAGUAGCUCUGCCUGAAAAGCGUGUGCUGUUUGCAUGCGAUUACCGGCCCUGCUCCGUGUGUGUGCGUGUGUGAGAUUGUGUGGCAGCUUGCGGUGUGUGUAUGUGUGUGUGCGUACCUGGCUCACGCUGAGACAGGACCAUUAAUCCUGCUUACUGGCCGUUGAGCAGCGUAGAGCAGCGCAGAGAUAAAGAGCCAAAUCCCUCUCUCUCUCUCUCUCUCUCUCGCCCGCUCGCUCUAGGCGUGAUGACUGACUCGGCCUGUCUGUCGUCACCUGUAACGAGCCGACGUGAUUUAAUUCAAUUGCGUUCGAUUCAAUGACUCAACUGUAAUGUCAUAAACUGCGAUAUGAUAAUUGUAUUGAUGAUGCGCUUCCUGCGGGUUGAAUAGCUCAUCCAUGACCAGACGUGUUCUGCGGUUGUGUGUGAAAUCGUUACUAGUGAGGUCAGAUCAACACCGACCUGGAGUCACAGGGAGCGAGAGAGAGAGAGAGAGAGAGAGAGGGCUGUGUGUCGGGUCAGAGCGCUGGUCACACUUUCUGUAAUACACGCGUUCGUCAAUAACUGCCUGAUCGAUACUCUUAACUGUGCAUUGAUGACUGAUACACAGGCCUGCUGGAAUAAUACACACACAGUUUUUCCCUGCAUUGCUUCUCAGACCCUCACCUGCCUCUCUUUCAGCCUGUUUGUCUCUCGGUCUGCCUUUCUUGCUGUCUAUAUAAGGGGCUUUCGCACCAAAUAGUUCUAGGAACUCCGUUAUAAGAACUGGCCACUAGGAUAGUUCCCUGAGAACUAAUUUCUCCCCCCCGGGCUAUGUUCCUGUGUGCAUUCUAUCUAUCUACCUCUUUGUAUCUUUCUACCAGUCUUUUUUGUCUAAUACCUGUCUGUCUCUCCUUUCUAUCUAUCGUUCUCUAACUUUGUCCUUCUCUGUGCAUGUCUAUCUAGCGGUCUCGCUCUCUCGCUCUCUCUCUCUCUCUCUCUCUCUUGUCAACAGCGAUAUAUUAAUAGUUCCAGCCGCCGAGACCCAAUUCCCAGAGCCGUGUAAGAAUUCAUCCUGUCUCUCUCUCCAGCGGGGGGGCUGACUCUUACGCAUUUGGAAAUUUGGCCUGUAAGUACCCUUCAGCUGGGGAUCAAAGCUGUACGCGGCACACACUCCGCCUGAGAACGGACGUAUGGGCCCAUAACGGGAGGAGUGUGUGUGUGAGCAAGGUCAGCAAGCGGUGACUCAGUUUUGAAUGCUGCACAAUCUCCAGACGGCGAUCCCCACCGCACAGGAUUGGACCGUGUGUGUGUGGAUCCAGGCACUGAAAAACACAGCUUGACAUGCAAAUUUUCCACACUGCGCUUAAGGGAAUAAACUCACCCAGGACGACUGUGGGACUUGUACUGGUUCAAAUUUAUUCCCCCGAACCCUUGAAUAUUUCCACACUGACCUGCAGUCAGUCCUUCCCACAGCUAGUUGCGUCUGAUCUGGAAUCAGUUCAUGACAUCACUGUGUUGAUCCAAGGGGUCAGGGAUUAGCUGGUUAGCACUUAGCCUCUGCUAGUAGAUGCCGUAACUACACCACUCUGUGGAUAGAAAACUUUAGCAUAACACAAGAUGCAUUUUAAAUGUACAUUUAAAAAAAAUAAAGAUGUUUUAAGUGGUUCUUAAAAGUGUGAAAUGGAUCACAUAAUUUUCCUGUGGCUCCACAAUCAUAUUCUACAAAACAUCAAAGAAAUUAAGUGGCUUAACGAGUUUUAAAUUGGUCUUUUAUCUAAUUAAAUGUCUACAAUUUAUUGUUUAUCAUAUGUGUUUAUCUGUAUUGAGUUUUUACCCUAUAUUAUGUUAUGUUCAGCACAUUAGCCAACAGCUGUUGUUUCAAUUAUGCUCUAUAAAUAAAGUGACAUUGACAUAAUUUCUUAAAAC